rnacentral:rRNA from 1 species
GCUAACUCCGUGCCAGCAGCCGCGGUAAUACGGAGACUACGAGCGUUACUCGGAUUCACUGGGCGUAAAGGGAGCGCAGGCGGGAUAGUGUGUUAGGUGUGAAAUGUCGGGGCUUAACUCCGGAGCUGCGCCUAAAACUAUUAUUCUAGAGUGCUGGAGAGGUAAGCGGAAUUUCCGGUGUAGCGGUAAAAUGCGUAGAUAUCGGAAGGAACACCGAAGGCGAAGGCAGCUUACUGGACAGAAACUGACGCUCAUGCUCGAAAGCGUGGGGAGCGAAAGGGAUUAGAUACCCCUGUAGUCCACGCCCUAAACGUUGUACACUAGGUAUUGGAGGAAUCAUCCCCUUCAGUGCCCCAGCUAACGCGAUAAGUGUACCGCCUGAGGACUACGACCGCAAGGCUAAAACUCAAAGAAAUUGACGGGGGCCCGCACAAGCGGUGGAGCAUGUGGCUUAAUUCGAUGCAACGCGAAGAACCUUACCUGGGUUUGACAUGUAUUUGAAUAUGCGUGAAAGCGCAUAGUCCUUCGGGACAGGUACACAGAUGCUGCAUGGCUGUCGUCAGCUCGUGUCGUGAGAUGUUCGGUUAAGUCCGGCAACGAGCGCAACCCUCGCCCUAUGUUACCAGCGGGUAAAGCCGGGGACUCUUAGGGGACAAACCUGAAUUCAGGUGGGAAGGUGGGGAUGACGUCAAGUCAGUAUGGCUCUUACAUCCAGGGCUGCACACGUGCUACAAUGGCCGGUACAGAGGGAAGCUACGCCGCGAGGCGAUGCAAAUCCUGAAAACCGGUCCCAGUUCGGAUUGGAUGUCUGCAACUCGACUCCAUGAAGCCGGAAUCGCUAGUAAAGGCGUAUCAGCUACGACGCCUUGAAUACGUUCCCGGGCCUUGUACACACCGCCCGUCAAGUCAUGAAAGCCGGUUUUGCCCGAAGUUCGUGAGCUAACCCGCGAGGGGGGCAGCGACCUAAGGCAAGGCUGGUGAUUGGGACUAAGUCGUAACAAGGUAGCCGUAGGGGAACCUGCGGCUG